UACCAUGCAAGUCGAGCGGAUGAGAGGAGCUUGCUCCUGGAUUCAGCGGCGGACGGGUGAGUAAUGCCUAGGAAUCUGCCUGGUAGUGGGGGACAACGUUUCGAAAGGAACGCUAAUACCGCAUACGUCCUACGGGAGAAAGCAGGGGACCUUCGGGCCUUGCGCUAUCAGAUGAGCCUAGGUCGGAUUAGCUAGUUGGUGAGGUAAUGGCUCACCAAGGCGACGAUCCGUAACUGGUCUGAGAGGAUGAUCAGUCACACUGGAACUGAGACACGGUCCAGACUCCUACGGGAGGCAGCAGUGGGGAAUAUUGGACAAUGGGCGAAAGCCUGAUCCAGCCAUGCCGCGUGUGUGAAGAAGGUCUUCGGAUUGUAAAGCACUUUAAGUUGGGAGGAAGGGCAGUAAAUUAAUACUUUGCUGUUUUGACGUUACCGACAGAAUAAGCACCGGCUAACUCUGUGCCAGCAGCCGCGGUAAUACAGAGGGUGCAAGCGUUAAUCGGAAUUACUGGGCGUAAAGCGCGCGUAGGUGGUUCGUUAAGUUGGAUGUGAAAUCCCCGGGCUCAACCUGGGGACUGCAUUCAAAACUGUCGAGCUAGAGUAUGGUAGAGGG
rnacentral:rRNA from 1 species